CUGACCUCAAAUCAGGUAGGACUACCCGCUGAACUUAAGCAUA
rnacentral:rRNA from 1 species